GUGCUGAACUCACCUCAGCAGCACAUAUACUGAAUUAAAAAUGAUAAAGAGAUUAGAAUGGCUCUUUAACUAGAAUGACAUCCAAAUUCAUGAAGUAUUCCAUAUUUUU